rnacentral:lncRNA from 1 species
CAGAACGCAACCACCAGGAGUUCAGCCUGAGCAAGGCCCUUCAAGGCAGAUACAGACAUGCCUCACUCGGAGGCUUCUUCAAGACCUGAAUUGCUUGUCGAGUUAUAGGAGUGUGGUUGGCAACAGACUUCAGCUCUUGGCUUCCUUAGGGUCCUCCUCACCUUUCAAGCCAGAAGCCAGGGACUGUCUUGAUCAGUCUUCUGUCGCUAUAACUUAACUCUACAGGCUGGGUAACGUAUAAAGAUUAAAGGUUUGCUCAACUAGUGCUUCUGGGGGGCCAGGUCAAGGAGCCACAGCCUAUGAGAACCUCCUGGUGAGGUGGGUCCAGGCAACAGGAGGCAACAGAGGUGCAUUCAAGUCAUGGAGCUAAACUGCAGCAGCCCCACUCUGGUGAUGAACCCAGAAUCCAAACCUCAUAAUCUAAUCAUUCCUUAAGGCUCCACCCCCCACUUAAGCUUCGGAAUGUGAACCUGGACCUGGGUGGGGCGGUCAAGCUGUAACAGUCACACGCUGCUUGGGCACAUCCACGGUGACUGAACAGGACAAAGUGCAAAGUCCAGCCAUCCUCUCCUACCACAGGACAUGAUAACAUCACUUGUGUGAGCAGAACACCUCAGAUAGAAACCUGUCAGGUCUGCUGCGGCUCAUGAUGGCAGUCGGCCUGGACAGGUGGCCUUCAGAGGCUGCACUUGCCAAUCUGUUUCCUUCUCUUAAGUCUCCUCCCUGGAAAACAUUCCUAGCCUCUUUGCAGCUCCUCACGUUGGGAACCUGCCCUUUCCUGAGGGGGCUGUCAGAGACCCUCUGAAGACUGACAUCCUUUGGAAAAGUCUCCUCACAGGCCCGGCAGCUCACACCUGGAACACGGCAGCACCCAAGUGGCUGAUGAGAGACCGACCAUUCCUGCAAGUUUAAGGCCUGCUUGGACUGCAUAGCAAGUUCCAAGGCCACCCUUGGCUACAAACUCUGUUUCAAAUGCCUACAGAAAAGAAGGAAGAAAGGAAGAAGGGAAAAGGGAGGAAAGGGAGAGGGAGGAAGGGAGAAAGGGAGGGAGGGAGAGAGGGAAGAAGGGAGAGAGGGAAGAAGGGAGAGAGGGAAGAAGGGAGAGAGGGAAGAAGGGAGAGAGGGAAGGAGGGAGGGAGAAAAAGAAGGAAGGAGGGAGGGAGAGAGGGAGCAAGGAAAGGAGAGAGAGAAAGAAAAGGCAGGGAGGGAAAGGAGGGAAGGAAGGAAAGAAGGAAGGAAAUGUGAUCCCAGAUCCUGUGCCAUGCUAUCCUUGCUGGAAACUGUGCUGACUCCAGCUGGCUCUCUCCUGGGAAGGCCAAGCUGGAGGGGACCACACAGUACUCAGAACAGUAGUCAUCAAGGAGAAAAUGAAGACUCCUGCAGACCUCUAGAUUUAAGCCCCGUAUUGGGCUUUAUCCCUCCUUUCUUUUUUCUAUUUUCUUCUUUUCCCAUUUCUUAUUAUUUUUUUAUGACAGGGUCAAGGCCAACCCUAGCCUUAAUUGUAGACUCAGCCUCCCUUGUGUGCAGUGCUGUGGUUGGUUGCAGGUCUAUGACAUCACACAAAUCCUUUCUGUUUGUUAUUGUUGUCCUUUGCUUUAUUUCUGGACACUCUGCGUGAUACUG